AAAAAUGAAUGAGGUGGAUUGUUCAGUGUAUAUUAAUUAUUUAUUUUCAUUUUACUUAAAAUAUAUGUUUUUGUUAAGUUAACAUGUGUUUUUCUAAUCAAGUCUACGUAAUUGUGUCUAUUAUUCACUGUACAUAAUACUAAUGUGUUACUUGAUGGCAUGACAUUUAAGUUAAGUCAAUUAGGAUCGAUAUACUUUGUAUAUCCACAAGGUGGCAGUAAUGCAAAAACAGUUGUAAUGAAACCGCGAAGAACAACAAGGUUUCACGGCUUGGGCCUGCUCAUGCGCAAGACUUCAAAUUUAACUUAAAAACGUUGUUUUGGCGCCAAGCUGCUGUUUCUUUGAGAGAUCCUGCCUUUACCUGCUCCCUCCUAUACUGAUGUGGUGUAUGUGGUACUGCUGAGCUUGUAUGUGAUCUGAACCAUUGUAAAGGUUGCAGUUCAAGGGCCUGAGGUGGAAGCAGAAUUUGUGAGGAUUACUACUGCUCCACUUGUUCCAAGGCUUUUUGCACAACUUGACCAAUACACUGACCAGCUCAUAAAAGUCUUCAAGAAAAAAGGAGGUGCUGCAGUGAAGAAAAUUAGACAAAUUUUGGCCCCAGCCACAAAGGAAACUAUUGAAAAGGGGAGGGAGUGUGUCCUCAGGGCACUACCUUUCUACCUGAAUGAAGACCCAACCAUCCUCUUCAAAGAAUAAUUGCUACAGCUACAGCUGUUCAGAGGGAGCUGGAACAAAUUACCCUUGCUGUCUUCACCAUCGAAAAAGCUGAUGUCAGCACUCCUCCAGCCGAUGUGGGUAUAACCAUCUAGGGUGUUCUGCAUGACCUGGAAAACAUGGCCUUUGAAGUACUUCAGAAGCUCUUCCUUCAUCUGUAUGUCAGCAGACUCUUGACCAAGGUACAGAUGCUCAAGAAUAAACUGAAUGAAUAAGCCAACCCUUAAUUUGGAUGAUGAAUGUUCUGUCAGAUGGACAGAAGUUUUUCAGAGGCUGAAUGGGAAUAAAACGGUAAUUUGUUGAAAAUGACAGAUAAAGGGAAAAUUACAUUUAAGAGAAAUUUUGAAAACUUUGUAAACUACUACAAUUUGAGAGAUUUUACUCUUGUGGGGGAGGGGGGCUAGUAAGAGACAAUCAAAAGUAUUGAGAUUUAAAGGAUUUAAUUGAGAGAUGAUACUGCACCAGAAAUGUUGAAGGGUGGUGUGUAUAUUAGCGUUCAAGGCAUAUUGUUAUGAGGUGGAAAUAUGUUCAUAUUCUGUUUGUGUUACAUUGUGUGCAUUGUAAAGGUAAUUGCAAUA